rnacentral:tRNA from 1 species
GGUUUUAUAGCUCAGUUGGUAGAGCGUCAGGUUGAAGACCUGAGCGUCAUUGGUUCGAAUCCAAUUAAAACCA